rnacentral:tRNA from 1 species
GCGCACGUAGCUCAGAUGGAUCAGAGCGGCCGGUUUCUAACCGGCGGGUCGAGGGUUCAAGUCCUUCCGUGCGCGCCA